GACGGAGGAUGCAAGUGUUAUCCGGAAUCACUGGGCGUAAAGCGUCUGUAGGUGGUUUAAUAAGUCAACUGUUAAAUUUUGAGGCUCAACCUCAAAAUCGCAGUCGAAACUAUUAGGCUAGAGUAUAGUAGGGGUAAAGGGAAUUUCCAGUGGAGCGGUGAAAUGCGUAGAGAUUGGAAAGAACACCGAUGGCGAAGGCACUUUACUGGGCUAUUACUAACACUCAGAGACGAAAGCUAGGGUAGCAAAUGGG
rnacentral:rRNA from 1 species